rnacentral:lncRNA from 1 species
AUGAGUGGCUUAACUCAUGCUUUUGCAGAGGGGAAACAACAGUGUGUUGUGUUCUUUUUAAUCGAGCUCGUUACUAUGGGAGGAAUUUGCAACCGUAGAUUUAGGAAAAUAAAAAUCAGUGAGGGGGAAUUAGACAUGCAAGUAACAACAAUGUUUUCUACAUUGUACAGUAUAGUCAGGCAGACAGUAGAAUUAAAUGCCUGCUAUGGAGGCAGAAGUGGCAGGCAGAUCUUUUGUCUCUUUGGUGGCCCCCUCUUUUUUUUUCUUUUUUUGUUUCUCAUUUUUGUUCAAAUUGUUUUGAUUUUCAGAAUUUUGCCCCUUUUCUUUCUUGUAACACACAAAGAACUUUGUUGCUGCUUUUUUAGCCUACAGGUAAACUUCUCUUCUAGUUAGAGUAUUGACAGGAGAUGGCUUGUAUUCCCCUGUCUGUGUAAGGGGGAUAUCCUCUGGGUUGCCUUCUUCGUUUUUGCUGAAACUCGCCGCGCUGAAGGUCUCAUAGGAUGAGGUCAACUUUUUGUUAAGGAGGUUUCUGUUGCGAUCACCCAUGAGGGAGGCUUCUCCAUUGGCCAGUUUUUCCUGACUGCCCCGUUCAUCGACAGGCAUGAAAGUGGAGAGUUUUGGCUGGCUCUUCUGCUUUCUCUCCGGAGAAGUGCGAACUGGCAUCCAGCAGGAGUCUGAGUGGCCAUAUUCAUCACAUUCUCGGGUACACUUCCCCGUCAGGGCUACAUCUGGUAGAGGCCUUGAAUCUGAAAGGAAAAUAGAGUUGUCUUUACAAAUGAAGAAUAUUGCAACCACUUCGAGUGAAACUGCAAAUCCCUAAAUUCUCGAAAGGUAUUUUUAAAGGUCUUGGUAAGAAUGUUGCACUAAGUUUCUCAGUAAUAGUUUGGGGUUUUUUUUGACGUUGCAUGUGUCCACAGGCAACAAGCUUAUCUGUACAGUUAUCCUCAACCUCAAGAAUUGAAAAAUAGGACUAUUAAGCCACUUUCUGUGCUUGUGAAUCCAUCUCCAAAGCAUUUGGCAUUGGGUGCUGAAUGAAUUUUGAUUUCUAAAAGAAUCAACCAAGCACUUAAUUCCAUACUGCAGAUUUUCUUGACAUUAUUAAAAAUACCUUUCUUUGAACUUUUUCACUGAAAGGGUUAUCAGGCAUUGGAAUGGGCUGCCCAGGGAGGUGGUUGAGGCACCAUCCCUGGAGGUUGAUGUAGUGCUGGGGGGUAUGGUUUAGUGAUGAUGCUCCUUGUUUGUUGUGUGGGUGUCUAUUUUUGUCAGUCAGGUUGACGGUUGGACAAGAUGAUCUUUAAGGUCCCUUCCAACCUAGAAGAUUCUGUGAUUCUGUAAAGAAUACUUUGAAUUUAUGUAAAAGGAACCAGAGGCGUGGACACUGCAAAUACUUAUGAAGAUGCUUAACUCUCUGCUAGUAAGCAGCUCUGGUAUUAAUGAUGGGUGUCAAUUUGCAUAUCAUAUAAACCUCUGCUUGUAUUUCUCAGGACUGGGCAUUCAUUGUUAGUACACAAUAUGUUACAUGGAUCAUACAAUCCAUGAUUAGUAGGAGCAUAUAAAAAAACUUCUUUCGUUUAUAAAUAUAAUCUGAUCUGUGCAAUUAAAGCUGUUCUGUGUGGUUUGGAUGCAUAUGAAGGGACAGGAAGAAUCCGAGUGCUGCCUGAAUAGAUAAACUAACGUUUUUUAUGUCGUUUCUUGUGUUAGGAAGUGUCCUGUUCCACAUCACUGCGUGUAAGUUUUCCAGCUACUAUAUUUGUAAGAGCUUCCACUGAAAACUAGCAAAGUUCAGGAGAUUGAUAAAAACACAGGUAGUUUUUUAAUAUUUGUAUUUUGAUACUUUUACUACAAUUGAAUUAAAAAGCUACCUCAACUAUUUUAAAUGCUGGAUAAGUUUCUGAAACCUCACUUUUAUUCAGUUAAGCUGUACUUUAUGGCCUACAAGACAUAGACAGAGCUGCCUACAAAGUAACAUGAUAUUCAAACAAUUAAAGUCGACAAAGAAUAUAAAUCAAUAGGUAAAUUAAUUUUUCCAGUUUAUUUGAUAUGACUUUUAUAUCGUAUAACUUAUUAGAUGAAAAUUCUAUAAAAAAUCGAUUUUCUUGAAAAGGAGCAAGGAGCUUCAGCAUAGAAACAGAAUCAGGUAUUUCAUAGGGGCUGCGGCAACUUUCUGCCUUCCCCAAAUUCAAGUGAACGGUAAGUUUGCCAGUAAUAACCUAAGCCUUAUAAAAUAUCUUUCAAAGGUCUAUUCAGCCUAUAUUUUGUUUCUUCUUUUUGCCUAUUUUUUGUUUUGGCUGCCAGAUGACCUUCCCAAACAGUAACAAUUCCAACUGUGAAUUACUUAUAAAUUCGUUACUGCUGAAGUUUUUUGGUUUGUUUAAAAAAAAAACAAAAAAAACAACAACCAAAGAUCCUUUGCCUCUUCGAGAAUAAACUCUUUUAAUUAAAAAUAUUUACA